rnacentral:rRNA from 1 species
UUCCAGACUCCUACGGGAGGCAGCAGUGGGGAAUAUUGGGCAAUGGGCGCAAGCCUGACCCAGCAACGCCGCGUGAAGGAAGAAGGCCCUCGGGUUGUAAACUUCUUUUAUAUAGGACGAAGAAGUGACGGUACUAUAUGAAUAAGCCACAGCUAACUACGUGCCAGCAGCCGCGGUAAUACGUAGGUGGCGAGCGUUAUCCGGAUUUACUGGGUGUAAAGGGCGUGUAGGCGGGAGAGCAAGUCAGAUGUGAAAACUACAGGCUUAACCUGUAGCCUGCAUUUGAAACUGUUCUUCUUGAGUGAUGGAGAGGCAGGCGGAAUUCCUAGUGUAGCGGUGAAAUGCGUAGAUAUUAGGAGGAACACCAGUGGCGAAGGCGGCCUGCUGGACAUUAACUGACGCUGAGGCGCGAAAGCGUGGGGAGCAAACAGGAUUAGAUACCCCGGUAUA